GGGGCGGGGCGUGCUGGCGCCCGGUGUUGUCAGGUGCGGGACGGUUACCGUAUCUGUGCGAUAACUUCGACCCUUGUAGGAUAUACGGACAGGAAUAGAAAAAGCGUUCGAAAAGUGUCUCUGAAGACACUGCCCCAUCACACCGAAUGUGGAAUGCAGCUGGCAAGGGCCAAAAAGGCAAUAAAAAAGGAUUCUACAACUCCUCAUUUCUGUCUCUUUUUUUGUGGAAAAUUUCCCUGAAGGAAUUCCCAGUGAUGGCUCCUCAGACGACAUUAUGUAAUACUUUGACAUUUGGCAUUCCCAUGGUAUUAUCCCACCACCAAUGCAGAAUAAGUUGUCAGAGCAUGAAAUUGGUAUUUUUACAUAUUCUUAAUGUACAGAUGUCAGUCUGAAAACCAUUCACUAGUGUUAUGAUUAAAUUCUUUGUUUCAUUCUCUUCA